UCAUUAAUAAAAGUAGUUGAUGGCUACUUGGAUACCUCAGCUGCUGUGCCACUGUGCUGCAAUGGGCCAAAAUGGAGAACUUGUUUUAGCUCAAAGAAUUGUCUCAACUCAAUCAGUAGUAUCAGGUUCAUGAAGCACAAAUCAGCAAAAAGCUGACUGCAUGUAAUGAAAAACAAUCAUGUCUUCACCGUAUUUUUGACUAGACAUUUAAACAUGCCCAGUGCUUGAUAACCCAGCUUUUGUACUCAAGACCAUGGCAUACAAUAUAAGCUUUUACAUACCCUCUAGUAAUGCAGAGCCUUACUGAUGGCUGUUGUUGCCUCAGUUUAAUGCAGUGCUGAGAGUCAGCUGGUUUCGUAAUUAAAAUAGUUAAGCAUAACAAACUAACAUAAAAGAAAAACAACGCAUGAUAUUAAUCUUAUGGAUCAAAGCAUGACAAGGGUCAGGUCAGCAGCUGGAGUUUGAUUGUGGAAGAGUGGGUGGAACACCACCUUGGGCAAAUGCCAGAAAGGACGGGACUCAAAACAGUCACACUAUGAAAAGAAGAGGAGUGUACACACACUUGUCCCAAGGUGUAAUACUAGAAGAGCCUUCUAGACAAGCAGAAAGCAGGUUGCUUGAUGACUGCAUUCUUUACCUGAUUGCAUGUAUGGUACAUACAUGGAUAUUGUAAUAAAGGAGUGCAGAAGCAUCACAGAAUUCUCGCAUCAAAUCGUCCUUCCUGCGCUGGAUGAGGCAAUUGGUGCCCCGUGAGAGGAGUUCAGUCUUCGACUUCAGGGUGACCAACAACAGACAGCUCGACGGAAGGUACUCUUUGGAUUCCUGAGUCAUCUGUUAAGCCAUAUCAUGAGCUGGAAAGAUCAGCACUUCAACCCAAUUCCAGAGAUGCAGUACCUGGCAAUCAAUGAUAACAAAAGUACAGCAGCAAUCCCAAAGACAGAACCUUCACUGCCUGCUCCACCGAUGACUGCCUCAGUUGCUGCCCCAUCAAUUUAAACAAAAAAGUGGGAAAUGUAGCUGUGCUGACUGACAACUGGUUUCUUAAUUAAAAUAGUUAAACAUAACAAACUAAUAUAAAAGAAAAACAACGCACGAUCAAAGCAUAGGGAACUAACAUGAAAGAAAAACAACGCAUGAUAUUAAUCUUAUGGAUCAAAGCAUGACAAGGGUCAGGUCAGCAGCUGGAGUUUGAUUGUGGAAGAGUGGGUGGAACACCACCUUGGGCAAAUGCCAGAAAGGAUGGGACUCAAAACAGUCACACUGCGUGCAAGGAGCACAAAAGAACAGGAGUGUACACACACUUGUCCCAAGGUGUAAUACUAGAAUAGCCUUCUAGACAAGCAGAAAGCGGGUUGCUUGAUGACUGCAUUCCUAACCUGAUUGCAUGUAUGGUAUAUACAUGGAUAUUGUAAUAAAGGAGUGUAGAAGCAUCACAGGAUCCUUGCCUCAAAUUGUCCUCCCUGCGCUGGAUGAGGCAAUUGGUGCCCCGUGAGAGGAGUUCAGUCUUCGACUUCAGGGUGACCAACAACAGACAGCUCAACGGAGGGUGAUGCUCAAAAUAGAAAGCAAACAAAUGUCACUGCUGAUACACACAGCUCCCAAGGCAGCAAUGAGAUGCACAGGCACUGCCCGGCCCCUGUGCUUCAUCAAGACUCUGAUUUCCCAUCCAUCACCCCCAACACUUUCAGCAAAGAAAAAAUGACUCUUCUGGCUUUUUUUUUUUUUGAAGAUCAGAUUAUGGAAUAUAAUCAAACACCUUCCCACUUGCACACUGAUCCACUUGGUGAAUAAAUCAAUACCGGUAAU